CAACUCGCCUGCAUGAAGCUGGAAUUGCUAGUAAUCGCGGAUCAGCAAGCCGCGGUGAAUACGUUCCCGGGCCUUGUACACACCGCCCAUCACACCAUGAGAGUCGGGAACACCCGAAGUCCGUAGUCUAACCGCAAGGGGGGCGCGGCCGAAGGUGGGUCCGGUAAUUGGGGUGAAGUCGUAACAAGGUAAC
rnacentral:rRNA from 1 species